rnacentral:tRNA from 1 species
GCCGGGAUAGCUCAGUGGUAGAGCAGCUGUUUUGUAAACAGCAGGCCGUGGGUUCAAUCCCCUCUCCCGGCUCAA